rnacentral:rRNA from 1 species
UACGUAGGGUGCAAGCGUUGUCCGGAAUUAUUGGGCGUAAAGAGCUCGUAGGCGGUUUGUCACGUCGGAUGUGAAACCCCGAGGCUUGACCUCGGGCCUGCAUUCGAUACGGGCUGACUAGAGUUCGGUAGGGGAGACUGGAAUUCCUGGUGUAGCGGUGAAAUGCGCAGAUAUCAGGAGGAACACCGGUGGCGAAGGCGGGUCUCUGGGCCGAUACUGACGCUGAGGAGCGAAAGCGUGGGGAGCGAACAGG